ensembl:lncRNA
GGGAAGCUCUGAUUUUCAUAUGCCCUGCCAGGAGAAUAUGUGAACCCUAGGAACAGCUGGUGCAAAGGUCCUGAGGCAGACAGGAGAGUGCCUGUGUGUUUGUGGACGGUGAGGACCCCAGUGUGACUGGAGUGGAGGGAAGGAGGAGAGCCAUGGGGAUGAGAUCUGAUGCUGGAGAGCCUGUGGGCCAUUUUGUUGUCCUGGCCCUUUUGUCUGGGCCAGGAGGAGGCCUUCCGGGCUUUAAGCUGAGGAGGGACAAAAGUAUGCUUAUUGAGAUCACUUUGGUUUCUGUGUUGAGAAAAGACUGAAGAGGGACAAGGGAGCUAGUUCGUGGACUGUUACCAUGGUCCUGGUGAGAGACAGUGGGGGUUUGAACCAAGGUAGUAAGAACUAGUUAAUUGGGUAUUUUAAAGUUAGAGCCACCAUUGCAUCUGCUUCAGAUUAGACAUGGGGUAUGAAACAGCGAGUGAGUUCAAGGGAGGCUCCAAGGGUCUUAUCUUGAAUCUCCGGGUGUGGAGCAGGUGUGUGUGUGUGUGUGUGUGUGUGUGUGUAGCAGGCAAGGUGUGUGUGUGUGUGUGUAGCUGGCUUCAGGCCACAUUACGUUAGGAGGAACUGGAGCAGGUGUGUGUGUCUGUGUGUGUAGCUGGCUUCAGGCCACGUUACAUUAGGAGGAACUGGAGCAGGUGUGUGUAGCUGGGUUCAGGACACAUUACAUUUGAGAUCUUACCAGACACCCGGGGGAAGAUGUGGAGUGGUUCAUUAGAUGUAGAUGAAUCUAGAGCUUGAGAUGGAAGUUCAGGCUGGAGCUCUACAUUUGGAAGAUAUCAGUAGAAUAGAUGGUACAGCUGACCUUGAGCAAUGCAGGAGUUUGGGGUGCUGACCCUGGUGCAAUCAAAAAUCCAUAUGUAACUUUUCUUUUUUUCUGACUGCACUACACAGCAUGUUCCCCAACCAGGGGUUGAACCUGAGUCCCCUGCAGUGGAAAACACAGAGUCUUAACCACUGGACUGCCGGAGAAGUCCCUCCAUGUAUAACUUUUGUCUCCCCCCAGAAUUUAACUACUAGUAGCCUACUGUUGAC